rnacentral:rRNA from 1 species
GAUGAACGCUGGCGGCGUGCCUAAUACAUGCAAGUCGAGCGAACAGAUGAGGAGCUUGCUCCUCUGACGUUAGCGGCGGACGGGUGAGUAACACGUGGAUAACCUACCUAUAAGACUGGGAUAACUUCGGGAAACCGGAGCUAAUACCGGAUAAUAUAUUGAGCCGCAUGGUUCAAUAGUGAAAGACGGUUUUGCUGUCACUUAUAGAUGGAUCCGCGCCGCAUUAGCUAGUUGGUAAGGUAACGGCUUACCAAGGCAACGAUGCGUAGCCGACCUGAGAGGGUGAUCGGCCACACUGGAACUGAGACACGGUCCAGACUCCUACGGGAGGCAGCAGUAGGGAAUCUUCCGCAAUGGGCGAAAGCCUGACGGAGCAACGCCGCGUGAGUGAUGAAGGUCUUCGGAUCGUAAAACUCUGUUAUUAGGGAAGAACAAAUGCGUAAGUAACUAUGCACGUCUUGACGGUACCUAAUCAGAAAGCCACGGCUAACUACGUG